UAAAACGUUGCGCAUGGGUCUCUGGCUUCCACAAGUUUCAGGCUGCUCAAGCCUGGGGCCACUGUCUUCACGGGUAGAACCCAUGAAUUUGAUUUUGCUGGGGACCAGUGGACAAGGAACACUAGAUGCCUUUCAGGACUGGGAGCCUCGCACAAGGCUGUCGCCUCCAGGAGUGGCAGGGGCGUUUGGAAGGGGCAGGCAGGCUCGUCCCCAUUCACCACGGGAGCCAAGCUGGACUAGAGAGGAAACGAUGGGCCCGGCAGCCUCAGGGGCUCGGAAGGAUGGAAGAGAAAAAAGUGAUGGAAGGGAGAAUCCCCGAGGUGAGCCAUACUCGUGGCAUGAUGUGUGCAGCGGUCCCCUACCAAAGCUGAACGGCAAGGAUGCUCCUUCUCUCUACCCCUUGGCUGUCUGAGCUUGGGUGCUGCACCUACUCAGGCCCUUCUGGAUGCUCCCACCUGGGUCCUUGACUCUUCGACGGGAAGUGACACUUGAAUCUGUUCACAGUCACUGUUGUUGUCCUGUGCUAGAAUCCCGGCCAGACUUUCCAUGCAAACACAGAAUGCUGCUGCUUCCUGCUCCUUGACCUUCCAGCACUCUCGAGUUCCCGGCAGCCUCCCGAGUCCUCAGUCAGAGCACUGUUUCCUCCCAAAUCCGUGCUGAUUGCAUUAGAACUGAUCGCCAGACUUGAUCCGUUCCUCCUCUCAGUAGUAAUGUAUCGGAGGAGGGCAGAAAGCUGAGGCUCCUGAUGGUGGACUGGCCACUUACCUGUGAG
rnacentral:lncRNA from 1 species